AGUGAACGCUGGCGGUAGGCCUAACACAUGCAAGUCGAACGGCAGCACAGGAGAGCUUGCUCUCUGGGUGGCGAGUGGCGGACGGGUGAGGAAUACAUCGGAAUCUACUUUUUCGUGGGGGAUAACGUAGGGAAACUUACGCUAAUACCGCAUACGACCUACGGGUGAAAGCAGGGGAUCUUCGGACCUUGCGCGAUUGAAUGAGCCGAUGUCGGAUUAGCUAGUUGGCGGGGUCAAGGCCCACCAAGGCGACGAUCCGUAGCUGGUCUGAGGAGAAGAUCAGCCACACUGGAACUGAGACACGUUCCAGACUCCUGCGGGAGGCAGCAAUGGGGAAUAUUGGACAAUGGGCGCAAGCCUGAUCCAGCCAUACCGCGUGGGUGAAGAAGGCCUUCGGGUUGUAAAGCCCUUUUGUUGGGAAAGAAAUCCAGCUGGUUAAUACCCGGUUGGGAUGACGGUACCCAAAGAAUAAGCACCGGCUAACUUCGUGCCAGCCGCCGCAGUAA
rnacentral:rRNA from 1 species